GUCGCCCGUGGAUCGACGGCGGCGGCCGAGUGUUCGCAUCGAUCACGUCUUCCUCCGCCGGCGUUGGAAAACCCUCGAGCCGUCCGUGGCGCGCUGCCGAACCCUGCCCACACUCUUUUACCUCGCUAUUAGCCUUGUCGCUGUGCCCUUCGCAGGCCCCGAAGUGUACCCCAGCCUCACCAACGCACCCGUAGGCUUCCAGGUGACGACGAGACACGAGAGGAAGCGCUUGUUAGGGGAUCGAUGUGCGGUGGUUGGGCCGUUGAAUCGUACGUCUGGCACGGGUCCCGCGAAUGCACCCGGCUGCGCUCUGCUGCCAUCUGGCGCCCAAACCCGCGCUAACCAACCUGAUUAAUCACUUUUACAUGCUGUUUUCUAUCCAUUUUCGGUCAACCAUGAGUAUCUACUCGACGCGGAAUGUCAGCCGAAAAUCAGAGUGCCUCUCCAGCCCACAAGAAAAGAGCCACGAGCAAUAGGAAGGGAGAAAUAAGGGAUAAAAAAGGCUGAUGUUGUGUGGCUGAGCGCCCCCGCCACACUCCCUUGUUCAGCGCCGCACACACUCGAGUACCGCGGCUUGGAGGACGCUCGGUGGCUUCCCGCACGCUUUUCUCGCCCAAAUUCAAGGGUCCAGUGCCGAAAAUGUGCUUAAAAUGACGCGCAGGACCUGGUUCAAAGUGCAGUGUGUGAUGUGAGUGCAAAAUAACGGCGGGGAAGUGAAAAUCUAAAGGUGAAUUUGAGGUGAUAGUUGUAAACUGGCUGGCGGUGAGAUCGGUUAGUCGCGCCUGGUGACUGUCGCGCACUUUUUGUCAUGGAACUCGCAAAUCCGCGUGCCAGCCUCGCUCUAAGGAACUCCUCGACCCGACAGUGCUCUUAAGGUGUUUCUCUCGUCCUCCUUGGUGAGGCCUGUGUCGGCGGUGGUGCUCCGAGGAACCAUAGAAAAGGCGCAAGUCGUCGAGGUCUCGGCGGAGGAGGUGGCGACUCGGCUCGACCACUCUCGCCAGGCAGAGGUUCCUCUUGGUCGAUACCGGCGGCCGCUUCUUCCCUUCCACACACCCACCUAUUUUAGCCAGCACGCCCUCGCCCGCACGCCCUCGCCCUCGCCCGCACGCCCACGCCCAUCGCCAACCUCUGCUCUAGGACCUACGCCCAUCGCCGCACGGAUCUGGAGGCCGGCAGAAGCGACACACAGGAGGCGGUGGGGACGGGCCAUGAGGGAAGUGGACGCUUGCCAACCCCUCCUCCUCAGCCGCCGCAGCAGCAGCAGCAGCCUCGCUCGCCGCACCAGCAGCAUCAACAACAACAGCUGCAGCCGGCGGGGAUGAGGGUGUCGCCUGCACCGCCGCUGUCUGCAGGAGCCAACCCGCCUCACCCCCCUCAUUCUCCUCACAUGUCUCCUGCCGUAGAUGUCCGUGGUCGCCUCCUGCACCAUCCCCAACAGCUCGCUUUCCUCCACCACCACCACCACCACUCCAGCUCCGCCCCCACCUCCAACUCCACCUCCGGACCGUCUGCACCACCACCACAACCACCACAACUACUCGAUGUUGCUUCUCAUAUCCCAACUUCCUCAGGUUUCUGAUGUUUCUUUUUUAUUAUUAUUUU
rnacentral:misc_RNA from 1 species